CCUACGGGAGGCAGCAGUGGGGAAUAUUGCACAAUGGGCGCAAGCCUGAUGCAGCGACGCCGCGUGAGCGAUGAAGGCCUUCGGGUCGUAAAGCUCUGUCCUAAGGGAAGAAUAAUGACGGUACCUUAGGAGGAAGCCCCGGCUAACUACGUGCCAGCAGCCGCGGUAAUACGUAGGGGGCGAGCGUUAUCCGGAAUCACUGGGCGUAAAGGGUGCGUAGGCGGCCCUGCAAGUCAGGAGUUAAAUCCCUCGGCUCAACCGAGGUCAGCUCUUGAAGCUGUAGGGCUUGAGUGCAGGAGAGGAGAGCGGAAUUCCUAGUGGAGCGGUGAAAUGCGUAGAUAGGAGGAGGAAGACCAGUGGCGAAGGCGGCUCUUUGUGGUGAAACUGACCCUGAGGCACGAAAGCGUGGGGAGCGAACAGGAUUAGAUACCCCUGGAGGC
rnacentral:rRNA from 1 species